AACGAACGCUGGCGGCAUGGCUAAGACAUGCAAGUCGUACGGACCGUGGUAGCAAUAUCGCGGUUAGUGGCGGAAGGGUGAGUAAUGCAUGGAUGACGUACCCUGAACUCUGGGAUAACCACGGGGAAACCCUUUGCGAAAGUGUGGAUAAUACCAGAUGAAGUCGCGGGAGUGCAUGCUUCUGCGACCAAAGAUGGGGGACCUUCGGGCCGUAUCGGUUUGGGUAGGCGGUCCGACUGUCCUAUCAGCUAGUUGGCGGGGUAAGUGGCCCGACCAAGGCGACGACGGGUAGCCGGACUGAGAGGUUGGCCGGCCACAUCGGGACUGAGACACUGCCCGGACACCUACGGGUGGC
rnacentral:rRNA from 1 species